UACGUAGGGUGCGAGCGUUGUCCGGAAUUAUUGGGCGUAAAGAGCUCGUAGGCGGUCUGUCGCGUCGAUCGUGAAAACUUGGGGCUUAACCCUGAGCUUGCGGUCGAUACGGGCAUGACUGGAGUUCGGCAGGGGAGACUGGAAUUCCUGGUGUAGCGGUGAAAUGCGCAGAUAUCAGGAGGAACACCGGUGGCGAAGGCGGGUCUCUGGGCCGAUACUGACGCUGAGGACGAAAGCGUGGGGAGCAACAGG
rnacentral:rRNA from 1 species